rnacentral:rRNA from 1 species
GAUGAACGCUGGCGGCGUGCCUAAUACAUGCAAGUCGAACGCUUCACUUCGGUGAAGAGUGGCGAACGGGUGAGUAAUCCAUAAGUAACCUGGCAUCUACAGGGGGAUAACUGAUGGAAACGUCAGCUAAGACCGCAUAGGUGUAGAGAUCGCAUGAACUCUAUAUGAAAAGUGCUACGGGACUGGUAGAUGAUGGACUUAUGGCGCAUUAGCUUGUUGGUAGGGUAACGGCCUACCAAGGCGACGAUGCGUAGCCGACCUGAGAGGGUGACCGGCCACACUGGGACUGAGACACGGCCCAGACUCCUACGGGAGGCAGCAGUAGGGAAUUUUCGGCAAAGGGGGAAACCCUGACCGAGCAACGCCGCGUGAAGGAAGAAGUAAUUCGUUAUGUAAACUUCUGUCAUAGAGGAAGAACGGUGGAUAUAGGGAAUGAUAUCCAAGUGACGGUACUCUAUAAGAAAGCCACGGCUAACUACGUG